UUGCUUCAGCAACACCUAUACUAAAAUUACAGUGAUACCGAGGUCACCAUGGUCUUUGUGCAAGGAUGACACACGAAUUUGUGAAGCAUUCCAUAUAUUU
rnacentral:snRNA from 1 species